AUAGGUUAUAAUGCUGAAAGGCGAUGUAAUGUCAAGUCCGAAAAUUUGUUACAAGAUUAUUAACAAAAUAAGUAAUAAUAAAAUUCAUAAAAUGUUAAAUGGUAAUAUAAUUAUCAUGAUUUAAAUUUUAUGCAUUUUGACAAUGUUGAUGUCGGUCAUGUACUGAUUAAUAUGUUUGACAAACAGUAACAAUGAUUUACAUUUACUUUUAAAAUUUUGGAUGUCUUUGGGGGUCAAGAUCAGCGUGAAACGUUCAGGUAUGUAAACAUCUGUUGUUCUCUGACCUGACAGCCGGAUCUUGAGCACCACGCGACGUCCAUGUUGAUUGCAGACCUCCCUCACGUCCUCAAUAGGGUAAGGCAUACCCUCCAUCAACUCUCUUAGAGGAGUCCAGGGUUUCGGGGCGUACCUAUUGAUGACAGUGAGGAAGUGCUCCUCGGGGUGAAUUUCAUCCUCCUCCUGCUGUAACAGCGUCAUUAUGGAGCUGUCCUCCUCAUCCUCUUCCACCGCACGUUUCUGUUGAAAAAUAUUUCAUUAGACUCUUAUUUGUUUCAGGUUAUAAAAUCAUACAAGAGAGAGAUCUUGCGCUCAACAGAUUCACUACUCAAAACUGUGACUAAUAACUCGCAAAUUCUCUGACAUGAGAGAGUGAUCUUGCGCUCAACAGAUUCACUACUCAAAAAAUCAUUUUCUCACCUCACUACUCGGUCUCAUAAGCAGUUGUGCUCUCGUGAGGGAAACUUACCUGCAUCGAGAAAAUCAUAGCCGAGGAACUAAGCUGGAACAAUACCUGAACCGAGUCGAGGAGCUAACUGAGAGAAGUCGAUUAUUUCAUUUCGUCAAAUCAACACAUCAUUUUCUCACCUCACAACUCGGUCUCAUAAGCAGUUGUGCUCUCAUGAGGGAAACUUACCUGCAUCGAGAAAAUCAUAGGCGAGGAGCUAAGCUGGAACAAUACCUGAACCAAGUCGAGGAGCUGAGAGAAGCAUAUCCGAUUAUUUCAUUUCGUCAAAUCAACACAUGUAAGUUCAUUUUUACUUAAAUUUUUCUCCU